rnacentral:misc_RNA from 1 species
UCCGGCUUAUCACCGGCGGUUUCCUUAGAGUGCCCAACUAAAUGGUAGCAACUAAGGACGAGGGUUGCGCUCGUUGCGGGACUUAACCCAACAUCUCACGACACGAGCUGACGACAACCAUGCACCACCUGUGCACGACCCUUGCGGACCCACCAUCUCUGGAGGAUUUCCGUGCAUGUCAAGCCUAGGUAAGGUUCUUCGCGUUGCAUCGAAUUAAGCAACAUGCUCCGCCGCUUGUGCGGGCCCCCGUCAAUUCCUUUGAGUUUCAGCCUUGCGGCCGUACUCCCCAGGCGGGGCACUUACUGCGUUAGCGACGGCACCGGGAGGGUCGCUCCCCCCGACGCCUAGUGCCCAUCGUUUACGGCAUGGACUAC